rnacentral:rRNA from 1 species
AUUACUGACACUGAGGAACGAAAGCAUGGGUAGCGAAGAGGAUUAGAUACCCUCGUAGUCCAUGCCGUAAACGAUGUGUGUUAGACGUUGGAAAUUUAUUUUCAGUGUCGCAGGGAAACCGAUAAACACACCGCCUGGGGAGUACGACCGCAAGGUUAAAACUCAAAUGAAUUGACGGGGACCCGCACAAGUAGUGGAGCAUGUGGUUUAAUUCGAAGAUACGCGCAGAACCUUACCAACACUUGACAUGUUCGUCGCGACUCUAAGAGAUUAGAGUUUUCGGUUCGGCCGGACGAAACACAGGUGCUGCAUGGCUGUCGUCAGCUCGUGUCGUGAGAUGUUGGGUUAAGUCCCGCAACGAGCGCAACCCUCACUUUUAGUUGCCAUCAUUAAGUUGGGCACUCUGAAAGAACUGCCAGUGAUAAGCUGGAGGAAGGUGGGGAUGACGUCAAGUCCUCAUGGCCCUUACGUGUUGGGCUACACACGUGCUACAAUGGCAUCUACAACAGGAAGCAAAACGGCAACGUUAAGCAAAUCCCGAAAAGAUGCCUCAGUUCGGAUUGCACUCUGCAACUCGAGUGCAUGAAGCUGGAAUUACUAGUAAUCGUGGAUCAGCGUGCCACGGUGAAUGCGUUCCCGGGUCUUGUACACACCGCCCGUCACACCAUGGGAGUUGGUUCUACCUUAAGGCAAGGUUUUAAACCCUUGACCACGGUAUAGUCAGCGACUGGGGUGAAGUCGUAACAAGGUAGCCGUAGGGGAACCUGCGGCUG